UAUUUUCACUAUUGAUGCUGAAGACACCCAAAGAUUUCAUGUUCUGAAACCAUCCAAUGAGCUUCCCUGACUCAGCCAUGCACUGGGGAAACCGGGGCAGACACAAAUGAGCUGUGAUCCCCCACCCUGCCUAUGACACGCUCUCACUCAACCAUGAGCUGUAGACAUACUGCAGGCAUCUGAAUUUUAACUGCAUUAAACCAGUCAGGACCAGCUGCAUGAUGAAGCAGAGUUUUGCUUGGAACCAGAGCCGAUGAUACUGUUAUCCACCCAUCACAGCUUACCAGGACUUCUGGACAGGCUUCUGACCCACCACUGUUCCUUGCACUGCCUGUCUCGUGUUGCAGUGCAUACACAAAAUCACAGAAAAAUUCAAGUUGGAAGAGACCUUUGAAGACCCAGUCCGCCUCUGACUGACUCCCUGCUAAGACAAUGGAAAACUUAGUCAUCUUCCUCAGAUCCCUCUUCAGCUCAGUUUGGAGCGUCUCUGAGGAAGGAUGCAGUGUCUUACAGGAAAGCUAUGGCUGAGUCAUCCUCUGGAUCCCUUUCUUUCAGAUUAGCAGUCCCUUUUACAAUAACUAAGCCAUUUUAUUGUAUUUCUCAAAAAUUGUUCCUUAGCAUGGCACUCACCCUAUGAUGUUUGGACCUGUGUUGUAGGUGGGAUUGUAUCAGCACUCCGUGGAGAGUUCAUAUCUCCCUUGGGUGAGCAAUGUCAACAAUACUCCAUUACCUGACCAUUAAAAGCCCUGAUGUCUCCUAUUGCCCUCACAUACAUUUGGUGAACGAUGGUUGAAUCUGCCUCUUCUGCCUCUACAAAAUCAGAAACCUGAAUUUGAAACCACUCUACUUCCCUGGAACAUCCCCAUUUAGGGAAACCAAGCCAGAACCAAAACAUCCUAUUGAAUCCAAAGCUAGUAACGUGGGGGACUUCAUCUUGCUGAUGGAUACAGAGGACAGAGCAGCAUCUUUUCCUGAGUUAGGCAUCCCAUGCUCAGCCAUUCCCCAGGCAGAUGGACAACAGCAGUGAUAUCCUGGCGGAGCUGGUGAGACACUUUAAAGCCAGGCACAUAUGUGAUUAACAUGAGCUGCAGAGCCCCACUAAUAACUCUGAAUUUGAAUUUACAGUAUUAACGAGACGGUUGGAACACAUAACCUGAGGUCUUGCCAGGAGGGAAUGUCCCCAAGGCAAUGACGAUGAAACACACGGAUUUUCUGAGGGAAAGAGACACUUUCUGGAAGUUCAGCCAGCAGUGCUGGCAGGACUUGCAGUGGCAGCAUGGCAGCCUUACUCCUCUCUAAAGCAGGAUAGGGGAGAGAAGCAUGGUGUGCCACCAAAAAAAUGGGAACCACAGGAACUGAUGUGACUUGCAAGUAUCAGGAGGAAGAUGUGGCCAGGUGGGGAUGAUUCUUCC